rnacentral:misc_RNA from 1 species
GAAUCCCAUACAACUACAGAAAGAUGACGAAGUCAGACGAGAAACCAAAAAAAAAAUUUACAAUGAAAUCAUAACCUGAAUAAUGAACAUAAAUAAGAGUAACAAUAAUUAAUUGGUGACAAACCUUACAUUAGCCUACAGUUCAAUCCCAAUUGUAACCAAAGUACACUGUACACAUCUACUGCAUAAACUCACCAAUCGAUAGUUGGGGAUCCUGGCUAUUAGCUCUGGAUUCCAGAUUUUAAUAACAAAUCAAUAGAGAUCUCCCACAGUCAUUCCGACACUGCAACUUCUUGGUCAACUCUCCAGUAGUUAGCAUCAUUGUACUCUUUUGUUCCUGCCCCACCAUCAUCUGUGCUCUCCUUUUCUGGUACCUUAGGAACAAUGCUCCUUUUCAACGGAGCAGCUUCACCGACAAUCCCUUCUUUAAGAGCAUGUUCCAUGGCCUUCUCGGUACCCUCCAAUUCCACGCCAACAAAUUCAACAUCCUCUUCA